UACGUAGGGUGCGAGCGUUGUCCGGAAUUAUUGGGCGUAAAGAGCUCGUAGGCGGUUUGUUGCGUCGGCCGUGAAAACCUGCAGCUUAACUGUGGGCCAGCGGCCGAUACGGGCAGACUUGAGUUCGGUAGGGGAGACUGGAAUUCCUGGUGUAGCGGUGAAAUGCGCAGAUAUCAGGAGGAACACCGGUGGCGAAGGCGGGUCUCUGGGCAGUAACUGACGCUGAGGAGCGAAAGCGUGGGGAGCGAACAGG
rnacentral:rRNA from 1 species